rnacentral:lncRNA from 1 species
AGGAUACAGAGUAGGAAAGAAAUGCCCUUGUUAUGAAACCCCUUCCUUAAGAUUAGCUCCUUUCCAAAGGCAGGGCUAGCACGGAAGCUGGGCUGCCUCAUCUCCCAGGAAUGGAUCCUGAGUGUUUUGAGCGUCACAGGUCUGACCUUCCUCAGGAUGCUUCCUGGGCUCCACACCCAAAAGCCCCCCAACCCGUUGCUAUGAGGAUGAGGGGACCUUGUCUGGUGGGUCCAAAGGAGUGACCUGUUAAGACCAAAAACUUUAAAGUGACUCAAGCACACUUAAUCUCUUCAAUUGGCUUUAAUUUCCAACCACUUGAUUUAAUCAACCCAGCAGGAAUUGUGGCGGGAGUUCAGGCCUAAGAGGGGGACAAGUGGCUGAGGGUAAGAUUGUCUUUAGGAGCAAUGCCCUGCGCUUGGAUCUCCCUUGGCUCUGGAGGAGGCUCCACAGACCUGGUAUAGAGGCUGGGCAUAGAAAGUGCUUGGGCAGCUCCUGUUAAGGUUGAUUUCCAGGAGAGAAUGGGCACUCUCGUUUGGAGUUCUGGGAUAGGUAUAUGUGAAUAAACUGGUCAAGAGAAGGGCCUUUACAAUGGAGGGCAAGGAGCCCUCUGCUUAGUGCCCCAUGCCCUAGACCUGUCCUCAUUCACUUGGAGGAAAGGCUGGCAGGAAUCCGUAAGUGGCCAAAUGGGUUGGCUUGCCUCCUCAAUACCACUAAGUUUGGAGAUAAGGGAACUAACUCUCUUCUCCCUCCUUCUACCCAGAGGACAAGAGAGGUUACAGCUCUCCGAACCCAACUGACCUCUACUAGGGCCAGGAGACUCAGAGGAAGGAGGAGAGUUCACAAGGGCAGGAAACUUAAUGAAGUCAUCAGGAAGGAAGCAGAGGAAAGGGCAGCAUGGCAAACAGCAGGAAACUUGAGCUCAUUAGCUCCAAACUGGACCAGACCCUCUUUGCUCCCCUGUGCCAGGGGAACAAAUAUGAGCAGAACUGAGUAAGGCCGUGGUGAGUGUCUCAGAGCCUCGAGACACCGCUCCCGUAACCCUCUCCAGCUCCUCACAGAUUGCUCUCUGUUAACCAUUUGCUCCCAGAACUUCCUCCACAUCAACUUAAAGACUUGCCAACCAUCCCAUAAAAAUGUUCCACUCUGCUAUCACUUUACACUAAUGGUUUCUGUGUUCCAAACUAACUCACCCCAGAGCAUGUCUUCCUGACCCUGUGGAAGUCCAAAAUCCUGAGGAAUGUCAUGUCAGGAUCAGAGUUGGGCUGUGUUUAGCACAAGACAAACGAUCUAAUACGCAGUGCCUUCACCACAAUUGGCAUGGGGUAAGUAAAAGCUGAGCUGACGCAAGUUCAGCCCCAGCAGAGGGAGGUCUAAGGACAGGGGAAGUGGGUACAGAGGCCUGCAGGUCCUGGUCUCAGUCCCCAGCCAGGAUGUUUGUGUAAACCAAGCUGGUAGGGUUACAGGACUGCAGGGGGGCUGAGCUUUUCUUGAGAACAGCUCAGAGUACAGGGCAGGAAAGGGACCAUCAAUAGGGCUAGCUCUGUGGAGACACUGACUGGGAACUUAAGUAGGAGGCAGAGCAAAUGCUCAUGGCUCCAAGUGCCCAAGGGUGGGGGCUGCAGGAAGCUAAGUGAUUGGAAAGCAGGGAAUGGAGACUGGAGAACUAGAUUGGGAGGGGACUCAGACCAGCGGCCAGUUAGGAGUUUAGGAAGACGUGAUUCCAUAAGAAGGGGAAGAAUUAAUUACUUUUAUUAGUUGCCCUGAGGACAGGUUAAGGAAUAAUGAGCCAGAUCUGCUGCUGGGAACACACGUCAAACCCCAGGCCCAGCUGGAGCUGUGCAAGGGCUGUCUCCAUGGCUGCAAAGGAGAAGUAGGCAAUACUACCUCGAAUAGCAUCUUCUCUUACUGCCUGGUACAAUGGGGGAGAGAAGUUGCAUACCCCAUCCCAGCAGACCCCUCAAGUCUUGUUUUAUCUGCAGAUAAACUGCAGAUAAACUGCAGAACCCAGUGGCUGGGGGCGGGCCCCUAAGACACAGGCAGAGGCGGUGGGG